rnacentral:misc_RNA from 1 species
AGAUACCAGAAGCACCCAUGUUUAAACCUGAAUUCCCUCCUCAAGAACCAGAACCUGGUAUUGUUCUUGUGGAUGAAGAUGGAAAACCAGAAGAUCGGGUUGAAUCAGCACUGAAGUGUCUUCCUCAUUAUGAUCCUGCUAGCUGCUGGAAUGGGGACUCAGCUCCAUCAUUCAGAUAUUGGAAGAUACGUGAUUACGCACAUGCUUAUCGAUCUAAGAUUGUAACUCCAUCUAUGGUUGCAGAGCACAUAAUCUCAGUUAUAGAGGAGUUUCAAAAGAAGAACCCCAUGGCACCAUUGUUGAUUUCUUUUGAUGAGGAGGAAGUCAGGAAGCAAGCUGCAGCUUCCACACGGAGGCUUGAGGAAGGAAAUCCAAUAUCCAUAUUGGAUGGAAUUUUCAUAGCAAUCAAGGAUGACAUAGAUUGCUAUCCCCAUCUGUCUAAAGGUGCAACAACAUGGAUGCAUGAGGUUCGUUCUGUUAACAGGGAUGCAGUUUGUGUUUCUAGAUUGCGCAGCUGUGGUGUGAUAUUUGUAGGGAAGGCAAAUAUGCAUGAAUUAGGCAUGGGCACAACUGGAAACAAUCCAAAUUAUGGAACGACAAGAAACCCCCAUGCAUUCGAAAGGUACACAGGUGGAUCUUCCUCGGGCCCAGCAGCAAUUGUAGCUUCUGGAAUAUGCUCAGCUGCCUUGGGAACAGAUGGCGGAGGUUCAGUCCGCAUACCCUCUUCCCUUUGUGGUAUAGUGGGCUUGAAAACAACAUAUGGACGGACAGAUAUAGGAGGUUCAAUAUGCGAUUCUGGUACUGUGGAAAUUAUUGGACCAAUGGCAUCUUCAAUGGAGGAUGUCAUACUAGUGUAUGCUGCAAUGUUGGGCUCCUCUCCAGCAGAUAGAAUCUGUUUGAACCCGUCUCCCCCAUGUUUGCCUAAUUUGUCAUCCUAUGGAAAUACAGAUAUUUUGGGAUCAUUGCGACUGGGAAAAUAUACAGCGUGGUUCAAUGAUGUGCACUCAACUGACAUCUCCGAUAAGUGUGAGGAUAUUCUUAACCUUCUAUCUAAAACACAUGGCUGUGAGAUGGUAGAGAUUGUGGUGCCUGAGCUUGACGAGAUGCGCAUUGCUCAUCUUGUUUCAAUUGGAUCCGAAACGCAGUGCUCAUUAAACCAUGAUAUUGAGGAUGGGAAAGGCAAGAGAUUGACAUAUGAUACCCGUACCAGUUUUGCACUAUUUCGAUCAUUCAGUGCAGCAGACUAUGUUGCUGCACAGUGUUUCAGGCGAAGAUUAAUGUACCAUCACAUGGAAAUUUUUAAAAAGGUUGAUGUCAUAGUGACCCCAACAACUGGCAUGACAGCACCCAAAAUACCUCCUAGUGCGCUUAAGUAUGGGGAGACUGAUAUGCAGGUUGCAGCCUAUCUUAUGCGCUUUGUUAUUGCCGCGAAUCUUCUUGGCCUUCCCGCAAUAUCUAUUCCUGUCGGUUAUGACAAACAAGGGCUUCCAAUAGGUUUGCAAAUAAUUGGCCGUCCAUGGGCAGAAGCAACAAUUUUGCGUUUGGCUUCUGCAGUAGAGGAACUAUGUGGAAUGUCUAAGAAGCAGCCG